rnacentral:rRNA from 1 species
UUACCGAGUUUUCAACUCCCAAACCCUUAUGUGAACCUACCUAUCGUUGCUUCGGCGGACUCGCCCCAGCCGGACGCGGACUGGACCAGCGGCCGCCGGGGACCAUCAAACUCUUGUAUUAUCAGCAUCUUCUGAAUACGCCGCAAGGCAAAACAAAUAAAUUAAAACUUUCAACAACGGAUCUCUUGGCUCUGGCAUCGAUGAAGAACGCAGCGAAAUGCGAUAAGUAAUGUGAAUUGCAGAAUCCAGUGAAUCAUCGAAUCUUUGAACGCACAUUGCGCCCGCCAGCAUUCUGGCGGGCAUGCCUGUUCGAGCGUCAUUUCAACCCUCGACCUCCCUUUGGGGAAGUCGGCGUUGGGGACCGGCAGCACACCGCCGGCCCUGAAAUGGAGUGGCGGCCCGUCCGCGGCGACCUCUGCGUAGUAAACCAACUCGCACCGGAACCCCGACGUGGCCACGCCGUAAAACACCCAACUUCUGAACGUUGACCUCGAAUCAGGUAGGACUACCCGCUGAACUUAAGCAUAUCAAA